CAACUUUGAGCGGAAUCAUGCCUAUCAUGUAACUGUAUGUUUCACCUUAAAACAAUUGACCAACUAUGAUUUACUUAAAGGUUUCCAUUUUAGUAACAGUUGGAACUAUUUUGACUAUGGCCUCUUUACAUUUUGAAGAUACGCGAAGAGAUAUAAAUGCUGCUUCGAGUAAAAAUUGCACUGCUAAGUGUAAAGGAGAUGACUGUAAAGCAAAUUGUACCGGAACAAUGUCUUCAGCGAUGGCCAUAGGAUUUCACUCUUCAGCAACGGUAUAUGGUGACUUAUCAAUAGCCGAAUGUCAGGGGCCAUUUUGUAAAGUGUUCUGCGACGGAAUUAUAAAUGUGUGCAUGUCUAAGUGUGCCGGUCGUGCCUGUGAGGCAACGUGUCGUUCCGGAUCAUGUCUAACAUAUAGUGAUGGAUUGUCUUCAUCGUCUAACUGUGUGGGGCAUAAGUGUAGCGCAAACUGCACAGGCGUGAGUUGUAAAUCUGAGGUAAGUCAUUGAGUGACUACGGUCUUCCUCAAAUACUGCCCGAUAUACUUUAUAUUAUUUGCGAAUACAUUGCAGAAACAAGUUACAACUCAACAAAAUUGAACGCCAUAGUCGAAGAUAUUUUAUUUAAUUUUACACGGGAAUAGUCUCAAAUAUUUCAAUAGUCGUCCAAAGUACCUUUAAUAAUGAAGGAAAGCUGUUUAUCCUAGAUGCCCUGGGAGGAACAGGGAAGACCUUUGUAAUUAAGGCAAUACUAGCUGAAAUACGAAGACAAGGUAAAAUCGCUCUAGCAACUGCGACGUCACGUAUCAAGGCUGCCUAGCUUCCCGGAGGGAAAACAGCUCACACAAUGUUUAAAAUACCACUAGAUACGAUGUCGCCAACUUCAACCUGUGCGAUAUCACGCAACUGUGAAUGGGAUGGAAUGUUGGAUAGAUAACAAGGAAUGUUGCCUCAUCAUCGUUUGUGAUAAAUACAAACAAAAAACCUGAUGAGAAACUGUACACCGCCAAAACUGUGAACGGUACUCAGCUGAAAGUAACAGCAUUGCAUAGACAAGACAAGAAUCUCAGUAGAUUCUUACAGGAUGUGGUUCAGAGGUAAUCAAUAUCAAUAAGUCACAAGGUUUAUAACUUUAAGAGUCGCUGGAGUGGAUUUAAGAUAGUUUUUCCCACGGCCAACUUUACGCUUGCUCACGGGUCAGUAGUGCGGUCCAUCUAUUUUUACUAGCGACAUUAUUAGCUUUCCGUAUGGAAACAUUAUUAGUUUUCCAUUCGGAAAGCUAAUAAUGUCGUAUAUAAACAAAUUCUUUGAGUUUACUUUACCUCAAAGGAUUGCUGUAUUGACCAAAUAUAUUUUAUUGGUAAGGUCACUUGUAUAUCGAUUUCACAUUAUAUACAUUCAACUCGAAAUUUACGCGGACGAAGUCGCAAAUUUACAAAUGUGAUUACGAACAGGCCCAAAUGAAGUAUGUUAAUAAUUCCUUUCCGGGUGUAAAAUGGCUGCUUUUAUCACUUAAGGCAGAAUGGAAAAAUCAAAAGAGCUGAAAACAACAUUCUCUAAAGAGGGUAGAAAAAUAACUAGAUUGUGUUCUGUUUCCACCCCUGCCUUUACAACGAAUUCCUGAGGCUUGGGGACAAAUUCUAGAACAAGCUCCAAUCACCACCAAAAUGCAAGCUUUCCUUAAAUACUUGGAUUAUUUUAUCUGUAGUUAUGGUCCUGUCCCAGUAGAUUCUAAUAUUGCCAUUAUCUAGUAUGGCUUCCGGUUGGUAUUUAUAAUGGGUAUUUUGUGAGGAAUAAAAUUAUUUUUGUGUGCUAGAUGCUGAUACACAAUAGCAGCCACUUGAUCGUGGCGAUGCUUAUAAUCAGUUUGUGCCAGGGAUUUUCAGGCUCAGGUUAUGUGUUGUAUUGUCUCGGGGUUAGAAUGGCAAUGUCUGCAUAUGUCGGAUGGAAUGACAGCUCGUAUGAUAUGUUUUUGAUAAUUUCGUGUGUCUAUAACUUGAUCUUGAAUCGCUAUCAUGAACGCUUCAGUUUCUGGGAAGAGCUCACCUCGACGCAGCCAGGCGUUCGACGCUAGUUUGUCGACAUAGGGCUGUUCAAUGUCUUGGUAAUGCCUGCCAUGAAGGGAUUUCUGCUUCCAUGAUGCGAUUUUAUCGUGUAUGGUGAUGACUUGUUCUUUUCUUUGGGUAUUUCUGUCUCUAAGAUUAACGGGUGUCAGUUUUUUAUCAGCAUUAUUUAUGAAGUUUGGAAUGUACAUAGAAAAAACUCGAGUUUUAUUACAAAUACAAACAUUUAAAUUAAAUUUCAGUGUGAAGGAACUAGCUGCAUAUCAGAGUGUUUUGCUAAAGACUGUAAAGCUCAUUGCAUCGGUCCAGCUUGCGAAGCAAAGUGUUCUGGACGCCGAUGCAAACAUAGCCAAAGCUAACUGCAGUAAAAUAAACUACCACCGA